UACGUAGGGGGCAAGCGUUGUCCGGAUUUACUGGGCGUAAAGGGCGCGUAGGCGGCCUGUUAAGUCGAACGUGAAAUCCCCGGGCUCAACCCGGGAACUGCGUCCGAUACUGGCAGGCUUGAAUUCGGGAGAGGGAUGUGGAAUUCCAGGUGUAGCGGUGAAAUGCGUAGAUAUCUGGAGGAACACCGGUGGCGAAGGCGGCAUCCUGGACCGAUAUUGACGCUGAUGCGCGAAAGCCAGGGGAGCAAACGGG
rnacentral:rRNA from 1 species